rnacentral:rRNA from 1 species
GACGUAGGGCGCGAGCGUUGUCCGGAUUUAUUGGGCGUAAAGAGCUCGUAGGCGGCUUGUUACGUCGUUCGUGAAAACUUGGGGCUCAACCCCAAGCUUGCGGUCGAUACGGGCAGGCUAGAGUUCGGUAGGGGAGACUGGAAUUCCUGGUGUAGCGGUGAAAUGCGCAGAUAUCAGGAGGAACACCAGUGGCGAAGGCGGUCUGCUGGGCCGUUGCUGACGCUGAGGCGCGACAGCGUGGGGAGCAAACAGG